rnacentral:rRNA from 1 species
GACGAACGCUGGCGGCGUGCUUAACACAUGCAAGUCGAACGGGAAGGCCCUGCUUUUGUGGGGUACUCGAGUGGCGAACGGGAGAGUAACACGUGAGUAACCUGCCCUUGACUUUGGGAUAACUUCAGGAAACUGGGGCUAAUACCGGAUAGGAGCUCCUGCUGCAUGGUGGGGGUUGGAAAGUUUCGGCGGUUGGGGAUGGACUCUCGGCUUAUCAGCUUGUUGGUGGGGUAGUGGCUUACCAAGGAUUUGACGGGUAGCCGGCCGGAGAGGGUGACCGGCCACAAUGGGACUGAGAUACGGCCGAGACUACUACGGGAGGCAGCAGUGGGGAAUAUUGCACAAUGGGCGGAAGCCUGAUGCAGCAACGCCGCGUGCGGGAUGAAGGCCGUCGGGUUGUAAUCCGCUUUCGCCUGUGACGAAGCGUGAGUGACGGUAAUGGGUAAAGAAGCACCGGCUAACUACGUG